rnacentral:rRNA from 1 species
GUCCUAGCCGUAAACGGUGAUCACUAGGUGUUGGAGGCAUCGACCCCUCCAGUGCCGCAGCUAACGCAUUAAGUGAUCCGCCUGGGGAGUACGGCCGCAAGGUUGAAACUCAAAGGAAUUGACGGGGGCCCGCACAAGCGGUGGAGCAUGUGGUUUAAUUCGACGCAACGCGAAGAACCUUACCCAGGCUUGACAUGCACUAGACGGGUGUGGAAACACACCUUCCCUUCGGGGCUGGUGCACAGGUGCUGCAUGGCUGUCGU